rnacentral:rRNA from 1 species
UACGGGGGGGGCAAGCGUUGUUCGGAAUUACUGGGCGUAAAGGGCUCGUAGGCGGCCAACUAAGUCAGACGUGAAAUCCCUCGGCUUAACCGGGGAACUGCGUCUGAUACUGGUUGGCUUGAAUCCGGGAGAGGGAUGUGGAAUUCCAGGUGUAGCGGUGAAAUGCGUAGAUAUCUGGAGGAACACCGGUGGCGAAGGCGGCAUCCUGGACCGGUAUUGACGCUGAGGAGCGAAAGCUAGGGUAGCAAACGGG